AGUCUGUUCUGUAUCUCCUUUAUUAAAAAAAAUUUAUUUACUUAUAUGUUUAUUUGACCAUGCCGGGUUUCAGUUGUAGCACUCGGAAUCUUCGAUCUUUCAUUUGGCAUGUAGAAUCUUUAGUUGCAACAUGUGGGAUUUAGUUCCCUGACCAGGCCCAGGCCCCCUGCAAUGGGGGUUCAGAGUCUAAGCCACUGGACCACCUGGGAAGUCCCUGCUCUAUGUCUUAUUGUUUGUGGCAUCUUAGACAGUCACCUCUUUGAUCCUCAAUUUCCUCAUCUGUAAAAUGGGAUCUCUCACUCAUAUGGUUUGAUGAGAAUUGCAUGAGAUGGACGUGCCAAGCCUAGACCAGUGCCUGGCCCAGGGCAAUCACUUAGACAGUGUGAGUUGUGAUUAUCAUAGUUGGCGCUUGGUAAAUGUUUGUUGAAUGAAUGAGAGAGAACAAUGGCUUAAGCAGCCCCAGUGAUACUCACUAGAGGUGGGAGAUUAGGAGAGGAGCUAAGCUUAAGACUAGCCCCAUGGUUCCAUUGUCUUUGACUGGAAAAUGGGAGUUACAUUCAUUUGAACGAGACUUCAGCUUUAUCAUAAACUACAAAUGAAGCCAUCUGGUCUCCCUGAGAAGCAUCCCACCUGGACAGGCAAGUGUGACCACAAGUUCUGCAGUUGAAUUGGGUGCUGAGGCUGCUGAUUUUCCCCAGUGCGCUUGUCUGCAUGCAGGCGUAUCUAGCAUUCCUGAAGAUUACAUCAUUCCCUCCAGGUGCGGCUAGCCCUGCUGACAGAGAAUGUUCUCCCGGGCAGUUGCAACAACCUGGCACCUGCCAUGGAAGAGCCCAACCAGUGCUCAUAUGCAGCUGUUCAGGAUGUGUGCCAGCCUCGCUGACUCCGGAUGAUGGGCGGAUACAGCUAUCGCCACUGCCUCCCUUGCUCCUGAAUACAGUGGAGCAGCCAGUCUCCCAGUCAGGUGGUGCUGGGUGCCCCAACACCCGAGGAAGGGAUCUCAAAGAUGAAAGUCUGCUUUUUUCUGAACGAAGUACUUCCUGUGGCAGUGGAGCCCCAACUUAGAGUGAGCUGGAUUCCUCUGUGGAGAAGAACAGACAUAGCGCCAUAAGUUCUGAUUGGUAGGUGAGUAGCCAGACCCAGACACUGGGAUCACUAACCAGGUCCUUAGGAGGUGUUUCUCACAGUGUGG
rnacentral:lncRNA from 1 species